rnacentral:lncRNA from 7 species
AAAGAAAGCUGAUCAGUAGUGUGUUUCAGUGGCUGUAAACUAGCUUGAAGUAUUUGGAUGUUCAGUUUCCUGAGAAAAGUAACAAAAAUGUUAGAGCUAAUCUUAAUCCUUUAAUUAUGGUGCUGACUAAUGACUUAAGCAGAUGGUAGGCUUUCCCUCUCUCAUUGUGGGGGAAGGUUAAUACAUACAAUUAAAAUUAAUAUAUUACCCAGCCUUCUUUCCAUUCUGAGUACAUCACCAGUUUCUGUUCCCUCUCUCUCUUCCCUCUCCUACUUUUAUUUAUUUAUUUAUUUAUUCAUUUAAAGUUAAAAAGCUUGGAGGUUUUUGAGGAUUAGGAAGGAGAAGGGAAAAAAAAAAAAGAAGAAAAUUUAGGAGCUGUAUACUUUAAUAUUAAGUUGCAUUAUUUACCUGCUAUCUUGGGGGCAGCUGGCUUGAUUUCUGAAUCAUUAUUUUUUAGAGUCCUCAGUGUGGCAAUUGAGAGAAGAGCAUCGAUAUCUUACCCACAUUUACAGGGCAUUUUGAAUUCUGAUAGCUUGUCUCCACUGAAACAUUCACCUCAAUUGGAGGCAGUCAGCAACAACCCCUCCUAAAGACAGAAUCGCCAACUUGGAGAAGCUGCAAAAUUUCUGCUGCUCAGCUGUGGGAGAACACCAGAAAAUCUCCGAAACUUUGUGGAAAAUGAUCAUCUACUGAAGGAGAAACGUACUAGAGCACAGGAAAAAAUUGAUACAUGAGAAAGAGCAAAAUUAAUCAUGCAGCUGUGGAACAGUUUGGGACCUAGUAUUGUCACAAUGUUGAGUUCUCCAGAACUUUGUAUUAGGGGGCUGUAGCCCAGCUGGCAGGAAUAGAAAUGUUCUCUACGAGCAGAAGGAGAUUAUGUAAAUAUCUAAAAAACAGCGUAGCUACUGAGCAUUGGCUUCUCAUUAUUUAAUCUAAACCCACAUGUAGUUUAGCUCCUCUGACUUAGAUAUUUGAUUACUUCCCAGAAAAUUAGCAGGAGUAUGCAUUGGAUGCACAUAAAUUGUUUUAAUCUGGUUCUGUGUGUAGCACCAAUCACUGGUGAAGAGUCAAGUUGGCACCUAUGUCUUGUUCUAAUAUUUGGUUCUCAAAGCAGGUGAGGAGUAAAAUUCCAUUUAAUGCCACCAGGCAUUUUGUUCAAAGGAGAACACAGUGCUUCACUUUUACAGCUAGGAGCUACGGAUUUAUUGAAGACCAUAUUUUAAUAGGCAGCUCUGAUCAUCUCGUUUACAAAUUCACCCAUUAUAAAGGGACAUUGAUAUUUACAUCACCCAUACUUACAAAAUACUGCUGCUGUGUAUAGCAAAUGGAUGCAGCUGGUACAAAGAAUGGUGAAACUGGGCGGAGUAGCGAUGAAGGGCUACUUCAGGAAACAACAAGUAAGCUUUGGAAUACUGAAACAGGAACAUUUUUCUCAUACCCAGUGCUCUCCAGAACUUCACAGCCAACUCAAGAAGUCAGUCCUGUGUCAGCAGGGAAGACCAAUGACCUCCAUCUGAAGAAAAAGUAUUAUCUUCUGAUUUGUAUUACUACUGCUGGGUUGCCUUGGACGUUUUUUCUCCAAAGAAAGCAGCACAGGUGUGCAGCUUUAACUAGAGGAAAAAGGAAUUACGCUCUUCUUGGCACCAGAUGUUUCCCUAUGAAAGGCAAGAUCUGGGUGCAUAUGAAAUGACUUUCUGGUGAGAAGAGCUCGUUCUUGCACUGGUUAACAUGUUGUUUAUGCUCAGACACCUGAGGGUUUAUAUCCUAUCCAGACUUCUGCAUUUUCUGAAGUUGUUUGUAUGUGAUGUUUAUCCAAUAAAGAAAGAAUGGGC